CCAUACUCCAUACCACCCUGAACACGCCAGAUCUCGUCUGAUCUCGGAAGCUAAGCAGGGUCGGGACUGGUAAGUACUUGGAUGGGAGACCGCCUGGGAAUACCAGGUGCUGUAAGUG
ensembl:rRNA 5S_rRNA 5S ribosomal RNA